rnacentral:lncRNA from 1 species
GGGAUCGAAGCGAAGUGGGGAGGGGUCGGGUCUCAGGGGUCGGGACCGGUUGGAAGGUUGAACACUUAGGCCUGGAAAACUAAGACAGGGGAUCAGGGCUCCGAUUAAGAUUAACUCGGGAGAUUAGGGGGCCGGUCAUCACAGCCUACCCCUCUUAAAAGAAUCUCGUCCUGAGAUUCAGGUAUCAAAAAGGGGGUGUGCUGUUCUUACCUCCUUGACGAGAUAGGAAACCUGGGAAGCGCUUGUUCAGAUACUCGUCCGUUUCCCAUGUUGCUUCAUCCUCGGUGUGGUUUCUCCAGAGGAUCUUGUACAUCCUUACCACUUGGCGCCGGGUAUGCCUUUCCUUCUGGUCAAGAACUCGGUCUGGGUACUCGGCGUAGGUCAGGUCGGGCUCUAUCUGAAGCUGCUCUUGCUCUA